UACGUAGGUGGCGAGCGUUGUCCGGAUUUACUGGGCGUAAAGAGCGCGCAGGCGGCUGGUCAAGUCCGAUGUGAAAGCUCCCGGCUUAACUGGGAAAUUGCAUCGGAAACUGAUCGGCUGGAAGGUGGGAGAGGGUAGUGGAAUUCCUGGUGUAGCGGUGAAAUGCGCAGAUAUCAGGAGGAACACCAAUUGCGAAGGCAGCUCGCUGGGACGUUACUGACGCUGAGACGCGAAAGCGUGGGGAGCAAACAGG
rnacentral:rRNA from 1 species